ensembl:lncRNA
UUGCUGGACAUCUCUGUGUCCGUGAGGCCUUCUGAAGGUUCUGUAUACACAGCAGGAGAGAGAUGUCUCCAGCCCAACUCUGUUUGCACUCAUUGACUCAACAGAAUUGGCCACAAGUAGGGCCAAGAAAAAAAAACACUUGGAUCAUCUUGAACUAUUUGCAUUUCUCUCUGGAGAAAAUGCAGCUACAGGAUGGAAUCAUUGCGUGGGUUGGAUCCUGCCCUAAGGGCAACGCUUGACUUGUGCACAGCCAGAAGAAAACACAACUAGCUUUGUCCAACAUACAGCCAUACAACUGGUGCUAUUGUGCUUGCAGUACAUGCAUUAUCUGUACUAAUGUGUCUUCAAGUAGAUCCUUCUGCCUGAGCAAUGAUAUCACAACUUCUGCGUCCACUUUUGGUCUGGACCAUUGCUAAGGGAAAACAAUUUCUGGCAAAUUCCUUGAAGUGCUUGCUUCCUGUAAUAUGAAUGGAGACAGUUGUUCAAGAAAGUUGGGUAGGUGUGUGUUUCUGUCUUUUCCUCUUCUGAGAGAUAUUUUUUGCCAGUGAAAAGUAGAAGAUGAUAAUGCUCCCAUUAAAAAUGAGGUGAAUGCACAGGCUAACUUGAGUGGGUGGAAAGACUUCACACAGGAUGAAGCUGGGGACAAACCUACCCUUGCCAAGAUAAACAGCUGCAGCGAUUUCCAUAAAGCCAAAGGGCCCUACUGCAUUGCUAUUCAAAUAAUUCACCCACAUAGUGCUAUAUUGGGCUGUGUAUCCAUCAUGUUAUAAUUAAAAUCAAUGGAUUUCAUCUGUAGAAAUAAAGGUGCAUCAUAAGUCAUGCAAGAGGACAGGAGAACUGAUAUCAUUGGGACAACAAACUGAUAUUCCUUAAUACAGUAAAAAUAUGGGCUAUGUGCAAAUCAAAGCAGAAAGCUCCCACUUUCCUUCCUACAUCUGUCUUUCAUUUGCUUUGCCUCACUCUGCCUGUUGUUGAUGUUUUCUUGGUCCCUUUAUCCAAGCUGCCUCUCAUUCCAAGAAGGCAGAGAGCGCCAGGUGUGAAUGAGAGAUGUGAGCGUGAACUCACUGUUGCUGUUAUUAUUAUCAUUCCUCUGGAAAUCAGUUUGUUGGAGGUUUGGCUCUGUGUAAUUUGUUCUGCUGGUUUAACCUAAUCUAUGCGAAAUGUGGAAGUAGAAUAAGGUGAAGAGCUUUGGAUGGUGGCUUUCACCCAAAGGUGCAACCAGAUCUAACAAAAUGUUGGCGUGCUUUGGAGCAAGGUGUAUAAGCUAUGGAUUUGGACUUGCUGUUUGAAUGCCUUAGGUGUCCAGAAUGUGAUGCAGAGCCCAUUGCAGUCAGUGGAAGGCCUCUGCUUGCACGUUGGCUCCAGUUCUCAUUGCAGCUGCACACACAAUGCAGUUUACUGGGUGUUAAACCUGGAGAGAGGGCAGAAUGCUUUGUGAGCUUUAUGGGCUGUUAGGCAGGCACAGGUUAAUUCAAAGAUGGACCCAUUGGGGUUUUGAGUCCUGACUCCUUCUCACAUCUGCAAAAUACGAUGGCAGUGCCAGGACUCAAAACCUUGAGGUGUGUCCCAUUGACCUCAAAUCCACAGUGGUGCUCUUGAGAUAUUCCUGCACUGACCAAAGCAUGACCUUGCCACAUGAAGUCUGUCAGCUGGUGCAAGGUGGGGCAUCUGGCUUCCAAGCUGCAAGAGGGACUGGCACUGUGCAUUUGUGCUUCCGUUACCAACUGCCCUUCCAAUACCAACUGCCUGAAACUCGCUCUCUAAAUGCACAAAGAGAUAUUACAAGGCUCCUAUUUAAAGUGAGAGAAACAGUCUGUUAAAAAAGCUAAUAUAGAAUCUGUAAUGCUCAAUAAAAAGUUUGUGUUCUAUGUUUUAAGACCCCAGUGAAAAUAAGUAUUAAAUAUUCCCACCAUCCAGCUAUUUAGCAGCCUAGACGCAUAUGAUUUUUUUUCCCUUUACUAUUGUUCCAUUACUGGCAGCAGACAUAUGGUGUCUGGUUAUUCUUGUCUUUGGACAACAUGUGAUUUUUGCAGCUCCUCUGGCUCCACCUGUACAUCCAACUGGGCUCCCUUCAUUUAAUGCAUGUCUGAGCGGUUCCCUGUGCUCCAGUUAAGCCCUUGCAAAUGCUACAGGGCUCCUUUCUGUGGCUGUGUUAGAUGGUUGUGUCUUGGAAGAGUCAGCAGCAGGAGGCACAGACUGUCAUAACCUUAAGAUAAACCCCUGCUUUCUCCCUGCUUGAUAUAUUGUCCCUUCCAAUAAUCCCAAACUCCUCUGCCUUUAUUUGGUAGUGAUUAAAUACACAGGCAAUGAUGUAUGCUGUGUUUAGGCCAUGCUGUAUCUUCAUUUCUAGCAUGACAGUAGUUGUGUGAUCACAGCCUACUGGAACUGCACCUUGGCUAGUGAUUGUUUUUUAGGGCUGCUUGCAUAGGGUGAGAGGUUUCAAGUAUUGUAUUUUCUGGG